AGGCAAAAUGGCGGCGGCGGUGGCCGGGGCCGCCCUGCUGGGCAAGGGGCUGGACAUCAGCCUGGCGGCGCUGCAGCAGCACGACCCCUACAUCAGCAGCAUCGUGGACGUGGCCAGCCAGGUGGCGCUCUACACCUUCGGGCACCGCGCCAACGAGUGGGAGAAGACUGAUGUGGAAGGAACACUGUUUGUUUACACAAGAUCAGCUUCUCCAAGGCAUGGCUUCACAAUUAUGAACAGGCUAAGCAUGGAAAAUCGAACAGAACCAAUUACUAAAGACCUCGAUUUCCAACUGCAGGAUCCUUUUCUGCUUUACAGAAAUGCCAGAUUGUCCAUAUAUGGGAUUUGGUUUUAUGAUAAGGAAGAAUGCCAAAGAAUUGCAGAGCUCAUGAAAAACCUAACUCAACAGGAACAAUUCAAAGCACAACAGGGCACAGGAACAGGAGCAUCCCCAAUGAUCAUGAAUUCUACUAAUAACAAAGAAGUGGAUAUCUUACGAAUGCUUACCAAGGCCAAAGAUGAGUAUACCAAGUGUAAGACCUGCUCAGAGCCAAAACAAAUGACUAGUUCCUCUGCUAUCUAUAACAACCCUAACCUAAUCAAGCCAAUUCCAGUGAAGCCUAGUGAAAAUCAGCAUCAACGAAUAUCUCAGCAAGGCAAGAAUGUGGAUCCUGAACCACAGCACUUGUCUCUGACGGCACUGUUUGGAAAACAAGAAAAGCCAGAUGUCUCAGAACCACAUAAUAAACAGCAUCAAGAGAAUCUUCCUGUUAGGCAGGGGGUGGUACGUUCAUUGUCUUAUGAAGAACCUAGCAGACAUUCACCCUCUGCAGAGAAACAGCUUUGCCCAGCAAUUCAAAAGCUUAUGGUACGUGGGACAGACCUUCAUCCACUUGCUGAGUUUCCAGAGAACCGACUCUGUGAAAAUGGCAAUAUCCACCCUGUGGGUGAGACUUUCACAGGACUCUUCCAGCCUGUGACUUCUCAUGGCAUUGCAACAUCUCAUGUAGUCCAGGAUACUGCUGGCACUCAGAGCUUGUUACAGAAAUUACAGGGUCAGUCGGGAUCAGUCCCCAAGAUGGACCCCAGUGCAACUGGACCUGUAAACUCAACAGCUUCUGUCUUCAGCAGGACUCCUGCUGCUGUUGGAGCACCAGCAGCACAGAUAAAUAGUCUGACCCAGCCACCUUUGGUAUAUUUCAAUGGCUCCCUGCAAGGCCAGGCUUUGGAGGCUCAGACAGUUGGUAAAGAACAGUCCAAACUUUCUAGACAGCCACUUCCUCUCUCUGGCAAUCAAGCGUCUAAUUCUGGGGUGAUUUCGCCUCAAGAGUUACUGAAAAAGCUCCAAAUAGUGCAACAAGAACAACAGUUGCAUGUAUCCAGCAGACCAACCUUGGCAGCUAAGUUUCCUGUUGUUACACAGAACACCAGUACACUGAAACCACUGGAUUCCUGGAUAGACAAGGCACCAGGUGCAGAAAAACAAAGCUCUCUCUUUCAGGUAAUCUCACCUCAGCGUAUUCCUGCCACUGUGACUCCUACCUUGUUGAUGUCUCCAAUGGUGUUCACUCAGUCCACACCUGCUCCACCCAAAGCAAAUGAAAGUGGGCGAUUAGCAGCAGCCACCCAAGAACCUACUGCUAGCUCUGCUAGCCUUCUCCUGCCGCUGCAAACCCCGGAGCCAUCUGUGGUCAAUAGCAACUCAGUGACAAAGAUGCAGCUGCAGGAAACACUUUUACACCUGAUUCAGGUAGAGUGUCAAGACUACUUUGUGCUACUUUGCUUAAAGCUCUUACUUGUGCUUUGGUUUAAACAUCUAUGCACCUAAUGGUUACAACCAUCUGUGUGGAGCCUAUAUGAGUAAUUAAAAUGCAUGCUGAAGUGGUGCUGUGCUAAGGGAGUACUACGUCACAGACGAGGAAGGUGAUAGGUUUUCUCUGCAAAUUGCUGGCUUAACUGCAUUUUGAUUAAUGCAUGUAGUUCUGUUUUCAAGAAAGAUAAUAAUUUUGAAGGAAAACAACAAACAUAAUUGAAGGCUUCAGAAAGUUGGCAUAUGAGCCAGAAAGAUAUAAUAAAUAUCUUUAGCUAAGGAUAAAUAAUGGGUGAUUAUGCUAGCUGCCAAAUAUUUUCAGAGAUGCAUGUUAACAGUAAGAGGAAUCCAGAUGGGAAAUGAAAAUCACAGAACGAUGCAAAAGCAAAUGCAAAAUGAAUUGGAGACACAGGUUUAGGGUUCCAGUUUGUAGACCAAAACUAUGUGUCUGUAUGACUUUGGAAUAAAAAUAAAAGUAAUUAUUGGAAUGUUAAAGUGACUCAUUUAAAAUUCAAUUUAAAUUAUAGACCCAGAAAGACAAUAAUAUCUUUAACAAAUAAGAGGCUUUUCUCAUUUUUCUCUGUAUUUUUAGUUUGGGAGUAAAAAAGAAAAAAUACUACAUUGUCCUAUCUUUACAUACUUGGAAUAUCUGGAUAGUAGGAAAGCCAUACCUUAAGUUAAAAAGAAAACUAGUCAAGGAAAAUUGGAUUUUAACCUCUGAAACUGUACUUGCAAGCGUGCAUUGGACCCUGCUAUUCUUGAUGGUAGUAAGGGCUGAGUGAGUUGCCUGGAAAUUAUUUGCUGUUUGAUACUGUGAUACUGACUGCCAAUUUCUCACCUGUUAUUUUCUGAUUUAUAACUGCAAUCUCAGAUGCUCCCGAUUUUCCUCAAGGAAUAUCCCGAUUUUAAUUAUCUUCAUAUAUUCAUGUGAGCUACUUAACGACAUUCUUUCUUAAUUUGAGUUGACCAGUUCUUGCAAAAUGAUCUUCAGAAGGAAAAGGUUAAACAAGCAUCAAAGCAAAAGGAGCAGCAUCAGUUAGGAGCAUUAAGUCUAAAAGAGCUAAACAAGAUGCAAGGAUUUGCCCAGAAUGAUGACAACUUCUUAAAUAUUAUUUAUGAAGCAUAUCUC